AGUGAACGCUGGCGGUAGGCCUAACACAUGCAAGUCGAACGGCAGCACAGUAAGAGCUUGCUCUUACGGGUGGCGAGUGGCGGACGGGUGAGGAAUACAUCGGAAUCUACUUUUUCGUGGGGGAUAACGUAGGGAAACUUACGCUAAUACCGCAUACGACCUACGGGUGAAAGCAGGGGAUCUUCGGACCUUGCGCGAUUGAAUGAGCCGAUGUCGGAUUAGCUAGUUGGCGGGGUAAAGGCCCACCAAGGCGACGAUCCGUAGCUGGUCUGAGAGGAUGAUCAGCCACACUGGAAGUGAGACACGGUCCAGACUCCUACGGGAGGAAGCAGUGGGGAAUAUUGGACAAUGGGGGAGAGCCUGAUCCAGCCAUACCGCGUGGGUGAAGAAGGCCUUCGGGUUGUAAAGCCCUUUUGUUGGGAAAGAAAAGCAGCAGGUUAAUACCCCGCUGUUCUGACGGUACCCAAAGAAUAAGCACCGGCUAACUUCGUG
rnacentral:rRNA from 1 species